rnacentral:misc_RNA from 1 species
UGGUUCUGGCAUCGAUGAAGAACGCAGCGAAAUGCGAUAAGUAAUGUGAAUUGCAGAAUUCAGUGAAUCAUCGAAUCUUUGAACGCACAUUGCACCCUCUGGUAUUCCGGGGGGUAUGCCUGUUCGAGCGUCAUUACAACCCUCAAGCCUAGCUUGGUGUUGGGCACCACCGGUCCCGGUGCGCCCUAAAAUCAGUGGCGGUGCAGCACUGCUUCAAGCGUAGUAAAUCUUCUCGCUUCUGGAGCUUGUGUGUGCGCCUGCCAUCAACCCCAAUUAUCAAUGGUUGACCUCGGAUCAGGUAGGGAUACCCGCUGA